GACUUACCGCUCCGGUGGCCUAGUGGUUAGAGCGUCCGCCUCGAAUGCGAGAGGUCGUGGGUUCGAUCCCCGGUCGAGUCA